rnacentral:tRNA from 1 species
UGAACAUAGUUUAUUAAAAAUUCUAGUCUGUGAAUCUAGAGAUGAGGAUUAACUAUCCUCUAUUCACCG